rnacentral:rRNA from 1 species
GUGGGGAAUAUUGGACAAUGGGCGAAAGCCUGAUCCAGCCAUGCCGCGUGAGUGAUGAAGGCCUUAGGGUUGUAAAGCUCUUUCAGUAGGGAAGAUAAUGACGGUACCUACAGAAGAAGCCCCGGCUAACUUCGUGCCAGCAGCCGCGGUAAUACGAAGGGGGCUAGCGUUGUUCGGAUUUACUGGGCGUAAAGCGCACGUAGGCGGAUUGGUCAGUUAGAGGUGAAAUCCUGGAGCUCAACUCCAGAACUGCCUUUAAUACUGCCAGUCUAGAGUCCAGAAGAGGUGAGUGGAACUCCUAGUGUAGAGGUGGAAUUCGUAGAUAUUAGGAAGAACACCAGUGGCGAAGGCGGCUCACUGGUCUGGUACUGACGCUGAGGUGCGAAAGCGUGGGGAGCAAACAGGAUUAGAUACCCCAGUAGUCC